rnacentral:rRNA from 1 species
UACGUAGGGGGCAAGCGUUGUCCGGAUUUAUUGGGCGUAAAGAGCUCGUAGGCGGCUUGGCAAGUCGGGUGUGAAAACUUCAGGCUCAACCUGGAGAUGGCACUCGAUACUGCUAUGGCUAGAGUCCGGUAGGGGACCACGGAAUUCCUGGUGUAGCGGUGAAAUGCGCAGAUAUCAGGAGGAACACCGGUGGCGAAGGCGAUGGUCUGGGCCGGCACUGACGCUGAGGAGCGAAAGCGUGGGGAGCAAACAGG